AGAGUUUGAUCCUGGCUCAGAAUGAACGCUGGCGGCGUGCUUAACACAUGCAAGUCGAACGAGAAAGGGAUUGCUUGCAAUCCUGAGUAGAGUGGCGCACGGGUGAGUAACACGUAGAUAAUCUACCUUUGAGCCCGGGAUAACUAAUCGAAAGGUUAGCUAAUACCGGAUGAGGUCAAUAGAUAUAAGUUUAUUGAUGAAAGAUUGCCUAUCCAUGGAAGCAAUUGUUUGGAGAUGAGUUUGCGGACCAUUAGCUUGUUGGUGGGGUAAAGGCCUACCAAGGCGAUGAUGGUUAGCUGGUCUGAGAGGAUGAUCAGCCACACUGGAACUGAAACACGGUCCAGACUCCUACGGGAGGCAGCAGUGAGGAAUUUUGCGCAAUGGGGGCAACCCUGACGCAGCAACGCCGCGUGAGUGAUGAAGGCUUUCGGGUCGUAAAGCUCUGUCGAUGGGAAAGAAGUGUAAGGUGGUUAAUACCCGCUUUACUUGACGGUACCCAUAAAGGAAGCACCGGCUAACUCCGUGCCAGCAGCCGCGGUAAUACGGGGGGUGCAAGCGUUGUUCGGAAUUAUUGGGCGUAAAGCGCGUGUAGGCGGUUUGAUUAGUCUGAUGUGAAAGCCCUGGGCUCAACCCAGGAAGUGCAUUGGAAACUGUCAGACUUGAAUACGGGAGAGGGUAGUGGAAUUCCUAGUGUAGGAGUGAAAUCCGUAGAUAUUAGGAGGAACACCGGUGGCGAAGGCGGCUACCUGGACCGAUAUUGACGCUGAGACGCGAAAGCGUGGGUAGCAAACAGGAUUAGAUACCCUGGUAGUCC
rnacentral:rRNA from 1 species